CCGAUGUUGACCGUCCCCGGCACGUGGCAGCAGGUGCAAUCGUUAGAAUUCGCCCCUCAUCAGUUCUUGACAUGUGCACAUCCUACCAACACCACAUGCCUGCUGAUGAACAAGACCGACUGCACGGAAAAGGAACUGUUGUCUCGCUGAAGACUCCGGUUCUCCACCUCGUGCCCAUCUGCCACCUGUGUCCACUCACCAGCGGUUCAUGUCAUUUCUGAGAGGGCCUCAUGAUCAGAUACUUGCACUGUGUUAACUGGAAAGUACCAGUCCGUUCUAAAGAGAUUGUGAUUUCCCUCUUGGCCUUCUGCUUGCGACCGGAGUUGAUAUUCCCAAGGAAACAUCGGACCCUUGUAUUCGGCGGUGGCCCUCCAAUUGUAAACUUGCUCCAGAUGCGACUAAAAUCAUCCGGAUGAUUUCAGAACAAAAAGAAUAAAUACGAACAUGAUCUUCCCACUUUCCCCAGAACUAUUUGGCUAAAUAAUGAAUAAAUAUUUGGAGUAAGACUGGAAAUCUAUCUGCCAAGGUAUGCGUUAGGCCCUUUUCCUUCAUGAAACUCAAGCGUUAAAUGCCACCAUUUAUCUGUUGUUUCUCCCAUCCUCCCAGAAAGAUUUUUUAAAGCUUCUCCCAUGUAGAGUUUGGGCAUCAAACGCCUAAUCAGAGCCUCUGUCGCUCCUAAUUCCAUCUAAAUACACUCUUCAUUGAAUCAUCUUGCCGCUAAUUCCAAAUCUAUAAUAGAAGACCCUUUGGGGGGUUCCAUCCUGACAUUCCUGAGGCCAGCUCCCUUCUGAAGACUUUCCCGAAAUGAAGAUAU